rnacentral:tRNA from 1 species
GCCUUGAUGGCUCAGUUGGUUAGAGCGCAGGUCUCAUAGAAAUAUGAGGAUUGAACAUCAAUCUGCAAUCCUGAGGUCGUGAGUUCGACCCUCACUCGGGGCA